GGGGAAGCCGGUGCAAUUCCGGCGCUGACCCGCAACCGUGUACCGCCGCCCGAGGUGGUGAGCCGGAUCGCCC
rnacentral:ncRNA from 2 species